AGUUAAUGAACUUGUUAAAGUAUAUGUUUUGAAAGCAUAAUAAAGAAGACUAUUCUUCUAUUAACUU
rnacentral:tRNA from 1 species